CCGCAUUUGUAGACUACCAUGCAGUCGAGCGGAUGAAGGGAGCUUGCUCCUGGAUUCAGCGGCGGACGGGUGAGUAAUGCCUAGGAAUCUGCCUGGUAGUGGGGGAUAACGUCCGGAAACGGGCGCUAAUACCGCAUACGUCCUGAGGGAGAAAGUGGGGGAUCUUCGGACCUCACGCUAUCAGAUGAGCCUAGGUCGGAUUAGCUAGUUGGUGGGGUAAAGGCCUACCAAGGCGACGAUCCGUAACUGGUCUGAGAGGAUGAUCAGUCACACUGGAACUGAGACACGGUCCAGACUCCUACGGGAGGCAGCAGUGGGGAAUAUUGGACAAUGGGCGAAAGCCUGAUCCAGCCAUGCCGCGUGUGUGAAGAAGGUCUUCGGAUUGUAAAGCACUUUAAGUUGGGAGGAAGGGCAGUAAGUUAAUACCUUGCUGUUUUGACGUUACCAACAGAAUAAGCACCGGCUAACUUCGUGCCAGCAGCGGGCCGGUAAUACUGA
rnacentral:rRNA from 1 species